rnacentral:rRNA from 1 species
UACGUAGGGCGCGAGCGUUGUCCGGAAUUAUUGGGCGUAAAGAGCUCGUAGGCGGUUUGUUGCGUCUGCUGUGAAAACGCGGGGCUUAACUUCGCGCGUGCAGUGGGUACGGGCAGGCUAGAGUGCGGUAGGGGAGAUUGGAAUUCCUGGUGUAGCGGUGGAAUGCGCAGAUAUCAGGAGGAACACCGAUGGCGAAGGCAGAUCUCUGGGCCGUUACUGACGCUGAGGAGCGAAAGCAUGGGGAGCGAAC